rnacentral:rRNA from 1 species
UCAGGCCUAACACAUGCAAGUCGAGCGAGGACUUCGGUCCUAGCGGCGGACGGGUGAGUAACGCGUGGGAACGUGCCCCUUGGUACGGAAUAGCCCCGGGAAACUGGGAGUAAUACCGUAUGAGCUCUACGGAGGAAAGAUUUAUCGCCAAGGGAUCGGCCCGCGUUGGAUUAGGUAGUUGGUGGGGUAAUGGCCUACCAAGCCGACGAUCCAUAGCUGGUUUGAGAGGAUGAUCAGCCACACUGGGACUGAGACACGGCCCAGACUCCUACGGGAGGCAGCAGUGGGGAAUCUUAGAAGAUGGGCGCAAGCCUGAUCUAGCCAUGCCGCGUAUUUAAAGGAGGCCUUAGGGUUGUAAAGCUCUUUCAGCUGGGAAGA